ensembl:lncRNA
ACCACUCAGUGUCACCAGUUCAGCCUGCAAUGUACAAAACAGCCACUAAUCACCGAGUACCCAUCAUACUCAUUACAAAAUGCAUAAUGUGCUGGCAAGCCCAACCUCCUCCCUCCUCGGCCCAAGGCACCUGUGCACCAGCAGGUCUGCUUCAGGUCUGACAUUCUAUCAUAGGAAAUAAAACAUUAUAUUAAUUUCCCCAUGAUAUACAGGAUGUAGAUUAAAAUUGUACAACCUACCUGCUUAGUAUAGUUUGCUCACACACACGGUACUGGCGAGCAAAAAAACACAGCAACCCAGACUUCAGCACAUGCCGGACAACGAGAACAAACGUGAGUUGCUCAGCUCUCGGGAUCUCCUUUUAUAUGGAGAGGCUCUCCUUGAGUUUAAGUCUCCCGCUCUGUGCUGAGGCUCCCCGGUCCUACGGUCCCACCUUUCACAUAUGUUUGAUUUGUUGACACGUUGCUGCAAUGUUUUACUUUUCAAUGUCAACUACAUUUUAUUAAAUGCAUUUUAUUUCACUCAGCUUAAUUUGGGACAAGUUUAUUAACAUUAAUGAAACAUGUCUUGUUCCCUAAGGGUGCAGGUCCUAAUGAAGUCUACCAAUCACUCCACCCAUUGAUGAUGGACAAAGACCAAGUCUACAGCACCAUAACACCCAACAAAAGGGAGGGACCGUCUACGUCCCCACUUUGAAGGAUCUCUGCAGCAGCAGCUAUUGCAUCAAUAUUAAAUGCCUGAGUGUUGAAAGAUAAAAUAAGUAUUUUGCAUUUGCUAAAUAAAGCGUGGGACAUACUUUCAUAAUUCCAUGUCAGCGGACAGCUUCACACUUGUACCAGUCGGUAUUUGGUUUUAUAUAAACUUCUUUGAAGACAAAUUGUGCACAGUCCUGGGUCUGCCUGUCAGGACACUCGUGGUCCAAUCACAGAGGGCGGAGGAAAGUCCCAGGUCUCUGAGCCCACUGACGAGCUUAGAGGCCACGAUGGUGCUGAUGCCAGCGGUCCUCAAUGAACAGCGUUUUGCCAUUUGUGUUCCUCCGGUCCAGGUGGAGGUUUGGGUGGAUGCUGAGAGCUUUGCUGGCGUCUGUGGAUGUGUUUGUCAUUCGGGCAGUGGGGUUUGCUCUUUUGGGGGACAGGGACUAUGGUGGUCUUUUUGGAGAAUGUGGGGGAAUACAGUGAAAUGUGUUGUGGAAUAUUUCAAUAAAAGCUCGGUAGAAGAGAAUGAUUUGUCUGAUAAAACAGAGUCUUGAUGAAUGUUUUGAAGCUUCUAUGAGAUCGAGUCGACCGCCCUCCCUUCUCAGGGCACAGCUGCAAACUAACAUUUUGUAUCAUGCUGCUCUUUGCACGUCCGGGUCAAAUACAGGACACUUGAGACACGGCUUUAGCACAAAACAAUGUUAUAACAUAUUUUUACCAUUACAAAUGUUAUAAAUAUCACUGAGCACAUCUGCCAGUUGUUAUGCACAAGCCACAAGAGCUCGGCCGAGGAUGCCUUCAGGUCCAGGUGCCUUUGGUGGCUUAAGAUUUACACACAUCCACCCUGAAUACUGCUGGUGACGCAACAAUGAUGAAGACUGUGGGUAAAACACUUCGUCAUGGCCUUUUAUUUGCUCUAAACUUGACUUACGUUUUAGGGCAGAAAGAAAACGUAAAGUUUGGGACCUCAGAAGAACGUUUUGUUUUAGAAUUGGUGCGUCUCAAUCUGCUAACAUGCUCAUCUUUCAUUGUGUCAUACACACUUAGUUUUUGUGUUGUAAGUGUCAAAUUGUCGGCCUUUUACAUUUAGAUUGUGUACUUUUCUUUUCUUCAAAUUCAGAAUAAAUGUUUUUUUUCUUUAUGUGAAUGGCAUCUGGUUUUGUGCACACUGACAUAAUCUUACACUGUGUUGGAGAGACAUUCACCAGGGGACUGUACCUUUAAGGGAAAGUGUUUUGAUGUGAGGUUAACGUGCAUGUCCGCAGUAGUUCUCACGUGUUGUUUUGUGUUAUUGAAGUGGAGAGUAAAGCUGACUCAACGCAUCUCCGUCUCCUGUCUCGUCUCUUUUCACCCUCCACAACUGUUUGCUUUGCGGCUGAGCGUCAGUGAGAGUACGAGUAGGUGUGUGUGUAGCGGCAGCGUCCUCAAGAGAUUGCAGUUGUAGUUGGAUCGCGUCCCUUCGUCUGUGUCCGAGCUGUCUCGUUCCUUUGCUCCUUCAAACUGAGUCAAAGAAUUCAGCCUUCCAGCCCACGAUUUUGGUUGUUAUUUACGUUGUUAACUUCCGACCGUAGUUAUCAGUGAAAAGUCACUUUACUGCCUUAACUUUCACACUUUAAAAGGUUGAUCAAUGUCUUACUGCGGUUGUGACCGUUUCAAAGAUCGUUUAUACUUGUUAUUAUGAACAGAAACUGAUCAACGUGAGUUCAAGUAGACAAAUUAUGAACCUGAUCUUGUCACGGCCAGUUUACCAAUGACCCAAAUGCAGACAGACGGCAGGUUAGGUGGAAAGAAAAGCUUUAUUUUAUGGGUACAUGGAUGCAGUUGAGGAAGCAGUGACAAGGAAGUGUAAAAAGUGCUGGCUGGGCGGCGAUGCGGUAUGAAGAUGUACUGGACUGACACAAUCACACAGGUUAUGUUACACGGUACCAAGAUUACCGGCUAACGGGGCGAGAGUAUAUCUGCCACAGACGUGAAGAGACGAUCGGGCGAUGAGACAACCGGAAACCGGGAUAAUUCAGCUGGCGGUGACGAGGGCUUGAUGAUGGACCAAUGAGGAGCCCAGAUGCCAGCUGAUUGCAGCCACACACACACACACACACACACACACACACACAGAAGGAACAAACCGUAGCAAAGCUGAUGUCAUAUUAGAGCUGGUGGGUCUUUUGGGGGGGUUAGGGUCAGCCAUUCAGUUUCAGUAAACAUCUCAGUAUGAUUCAAUGCAAAACAAUUAUUAUUCUUCAUUAUUACUUCGCAGUUAAGUAUUUAACAUCUUAUUCAAACAAUUUAGUACAAUGAUAGAUAUACACAGUAUAUAACUAUAUAUAAACAAUAUGAUAUAACUACUAUAUUGUAUAAAUAUAAUAAAAAUAUAAUAUUAAAUACAAUACAAAUAUACUUAUAAAAUCCACCUCUCCUUUCUCUGGUACAGAGUUCGGGUCAGGUCUUCUUGGAAGGACACUGCUCGUGGUCACUCUUGUUUUAACUGGUGUGAGACUCGCGUAGGGCGGUGAAGAGCUCUGCCCACAACUCAAUGGAUUUUAGGACUCUGAAAGGAUGUGUCACUCAUUGACUUUAAUCAGUGAUUGGCUAAACUGCUUCUAAAGGCUGGCGCAUGCUUCUGCUUCUGCGUCUUUACACAGAGUCGUGUCAACGCACUCGUUUCAAUUCAUGGUUCUAAAGUCUUGCGUGUGUUGCAGAGCAAUUCACCGCCAGAACAACAGGUGGAGUAACGUGUUUUUGUUGAAGACGACCAAAAGAGUGACGUCUUGCGUAGCUUUUGACGCUAGUCUAGAAAAAUGGGUCGACGCACGCAAGAACGCAAGAAGAGGUGAAAAGACGCCCAACGGGCUCUUGAGUGCGAGUGUCCUUGCGUCUCUCUGAAAACGCAGAAGCAUGAACUAGGUUUUGGAUCCACCGCUUUGGGACACGGCCCGAGCCCAGCUGAGACAUGCAGAGAGGGCGUGCAGGAAAAGCAUAUAUUUUGCGCAGAUAUCUUAAUUUACUAAUAUUACUGGGUACAUUCCAUGUUUCAAAAACACACAUAUUGACUAUUUGUAAAAUGUAUGUUUUAUAUAAUGAAAAUGAUUAUUAGGAUUUCAUUUAAAAUGACCAGAAUGUGUCCUUCUCUCAGCCUGAUCUAUAGGUAUGAUGCUCUUGAGGUAAAGAAUCUUCCUAAAUGAAAUGAGAAGAUUAUGAUCUGGCUGUAUUUUAUAUAUUUUUUCAAAUAUAAAGCUUUACUGUCAAGCUUGCUGCAGCAACAGGAAAAGUUGCCACCACAAACAGGAAGUCCCUCACAGGCCAGACCAUUUCCUUUCGUAGAAGCACCCGCCCCCCCGUCCACAUCAGAGGCUGAGUCAAUAGAGGAACACGGCCACUAAAUGAGAAACAGCUUGUGUGUUGCAGGAGGAAGAAGAGCAUCAACUGGAGACAGUAAGAGGAAGUGAAGGAGGGACAUGAAGACGGUGAUGACUGACCUGAUGAUUCCUACACACUCGUUCACUCACUCUCUCACUUUCACGAUGAUAAAAAUCUAUGUUUACUUUUGUCUUCUUUCUGGUGAGUUAGUUUUUUUCUGUAUCUUCUGCAUUUACACAAACUGUAGCUUGCGUACAAAAGAUGUAGCUGUUGAUUGAAACAUGUAUAAUUCAAUUAGGGGUUUAUUUUAUUUUUCAAAUUUGCCGUCAUGAAUAGUAAAAACUAACGUCAAAGGAAAUGUACGUAUGAACUAUGACAAAGGCAAAAUGUCUCCUUUAUUUCUGCUUGUAG